rnacentral:rRNA from 1 species
CCUACGGGAGGCAGCAGUGGGGAAUAUUGGACAAUGGGGGCAACCCUGAUCCAGCCAUGCCGCGUGUGUGAAGAAGGCCUUCGGGUUGUAAAGCACUUUAAGCAGGGAGGAAGGGAUGCUGGUUAAUAACCAGCGUCAUUGACGUUACCUGCAGAAUAAGCACCGGCUAACUUCGUGCCAGCAGCCGCGGUAAU